AGAAUCAACGCUGGCGGCGUGCCUAACACAUGCAAGUCGAACGAGAAAGUGGAGCAAUCCAUGAGUAAAGUGGCGCACGGGUGAGUAACACGUGACUAACCUACCCUUGAGUGGGGAAUAACUUCGGGAAACCGAGGCUAAUACCGCAUAACACCUACGGGUCAAAGGAGCAAUUCGCUUAAGGAGGGGGUCGCGGCAGAUUAGUUAGUUGGCGGGGUAAUGGCCCACCAAGACGGUGAUCUGUAUCCGGCCUGAGAGGGCGCACGGACACACUGGAACUGAAACACGGUCCAGACUCCUACGGGAGGCAGCAGUGGGGAAUUUUGCGCAAUGGGGGAAACCCUGACGCAGCAACGCCGCGUGGAGGAUGAAGUCCCUUGGGACGUAAACUCCUUUCGAUCGGGACGAUUAUGACGGUACCGGAAGAAGAAGCCCCGGCUAACUUCGGCGCCAGCAGCCGC
rnacentral:rRNA from 1 species